rnacentral:rRNA from 1 species
CCUACGUGGGGCUGCAGUGGGGAAUAUUGCACAAUGGGGGGAACCCUGAUGCCGCACUGCCGCGUGAGGGAUGAAGGUCUUCGGAUCGUAAACCUCUGUCAGCAGGGAAGAACGGUCACUGUGCUAAUCAGCAUUGAAUUGCCGGUACCUGCAAAGGAAGCACCGGCUAACUCCGUACCAGCAGCCGCGGUAAUACGGAGGGUGCGAGCGUUAAUCGGAAUUACUGGGCGUAAAGCCCUCGUAGGCGGUAUGUCAAGUCAAGGGUGAAAUCCCCGCGCUCAACGUGGGAACUGCAUUUGAAACUGUUGAUCUUGAGUACUGGAGAGGCAGACGGAAUUCCUAGUGUAGCGGUGAAAUGCGUAGAUAUUAGGAGGAACACCAGUGGCGAAGGCGGUCUGCUGGACAGCAACUGACGGUGAGGCGCGAAAGCGUGGGGAGCAAACAGGAUUAGAUACCCCAGUAGUC